UUUACUGUAAUGCAGCCUUUAAAACCAGGGAAAGACAACAUUUGUAUCAUUGCGUUAUCCAAAAUUUAAGACGAAAAACGAGCUUCAUAUAUCGAUAUAAUACAGAAAUAUUGCCCAGCCCUAGUUAAAACAACGAAUUAAAUCAAAUCUAUAUUCCUAAAUUGAUUUUGAUAUGUAAAAUAUAAAUCAAAUUAUACAGAAAUGAUACGCCUUUUGUUGUUAUCUUUUUAGUAUUACGACAAGCGGCAGAGACAACUGUUGUAAAUCCUAUGGUGGAUCCUCAAACCCGUGGCCACAUCAUUUUGGCAGUUGUGCUGGCUAUUACUGUGAUAUCCAUAGGGGCAGUCAUCGCCUUGUUUCUCUUCAAGAAGUCUGGCCUCCGCAUACCUAUUCCUGAAAAGUUAUCUACCUUUGACAACCCACUUUUUUUCAGCAAUGAGCGGUACCAGCCUGAUCUGGUUGACGCUAAAAAACUGGUAGUAAAUGCAGACGAAGAGAACUCUGUCUCUGUUAUAACUGUGUGAUGUAAAUACCAGCAGAAUCUACUGGGGCAUUCAAUGUAUCCUGGUCAGAGGGUUGAUGGCAUUUUCAUUUUCACGACCAAGGGAAAUGAGAGUAUCAAUGUAGAUGGCAAUAACUGGCUUAAAUGAACAAAACAAUUUAAGCUGUAGGAUGUCUUAUUUAGUAUACAAAUCUCUA